GUGAAAUUNGUAGAUAUUGGGAAGAACACCGUGGCGAAGGCGGUCUCUGGGCAUGACCUGACGCUGAGGAGCGAAAGUGUGGGGAGCGAACAGGAUUAGAUACCCUGGUAGUUCCACACCCUAAACGUUGGGCGCUAGGUGUGGGAUCCAUUCCACGGGUUCCGUGCCGCAGCUAACGCAUAAGCGCCCCGCUGGGA
rnacentral:rRNA from 1 species